UAAGACGAACCGAGCGAACGUUAUUCGGAAUCACUGGGCUUAAAGGGCGCGUAGGCGGAUCAAAAAGUCAGGGGUGAAAUCCCACGGCUCAACCGUGGAAGUGCCUUUGAUACUUUUGAUCUCGAGGGAGGUAGGGGCGUGCGGAACUUCCGGUGGAGCGGUGAAAUGCGUAGAUAUCGGAAGGAACACCGGUGGCGAAAGCGGCGCGCUGGACCUCUUCUGACGCUGAGGCGCGAAAGCCAGGGGAGCAAACGGGAUUAGAUACCCCGGUAGUCCUGGCCCUAAACGUUGGGUACUAGGUUGUGGACUUACAUGGGUUCACAGCCGAAGCAAAAGUAUUAAGUACCCCGCCUGGGGAGUAUGGUCGCAAGGCUG
rnacentral:rRNA from 1 species